GCCGCCGCCGCCGCCUCAGCCCAACAUGGCGAUGCACAACAAGGCGGCGCCACCGCAGAUCCCGGACACCCGGCGGGAGCUGGCAGAGCUCGUGAAGCGGAAGCAGGAGCUGGCGGUUUCCAUAGCAACUGCAGCCCGCGCAGAGGGGAGCCCGUGGAUGCUGAAAAGCUGCUCACCCUUGGCUCUCCUGGUAGCGACACCUUUAGGUUCAUCAUCCCCAAGAGGUCUGGACUGUCUUUGGCUUGGACUACCUGGCACUCCCCAUAUCGUCUCUCUCUCCACAAAAAUGUGUCCGUGUGGACGAGCUUGGCUUUACAAGGAAACACUGGCAAACUUGGAGAGACAGAUCUACGCUUUUGAAGGAAGCUACCUGGAAGACACUCAGAUGUAUGGCAAUAUUAUUCGUGGCUGGGAUCGGUAUCUGACCAACCAAAAAAACUCCAAUAGCAAAAAUGAUAGAAGGAAUCGGAAGUUUAAGGAAGCUGAGCGGCUCUUCAGUAAAUCCUCAGUUACGUCGGCAGCUGCAGUAAGUGCAUUGGCAGGAGUUCAGGACCAGCUCAUUGAAAAGAGGGAGCCAGGAAGUGGGACAGAAAGUGAUACUUCUCCAGACUUCCACAAUCAGGAAAAUGAGCCCAGCCAGGAGGACCCUGAGGAUCUGGAUGGAUCUGUGCAGGGAGUGAAACCUCAGAAGGCUGCUUCUUCUACUUCCUCAGGGAGUCAUCACAGCAGCCAUAAAAAACGGAAGAAUAAAAACCGGCACAGGUAUGUAUAUUAGGUUAGGCUGGGAAGUUUUUUUUAAAAACAGAAAAACGUGAUGGAGAAUUGAUCUGAAGUUAAACAAAAAACCACGAGCUGACUAUUAGAAGACUCAUUAGUGCAGAAGCCUCCAGGCUGUAGAGCUCUGCUUCCCUUCUCCGACCUCAUACAGAUAAAGAUAAACAUCCCUCACCUGAGUGCGUGGCCAUCCACCUCUGCUCUCCCAGACCCAGUGCCUGUGACUCUGAGUAGUUUGUUCUAAAUGUUGUGACAAACAAGUCAUUUCUGUAAGACAUCGGAUCAUUUGCUUUGUGUCAUUUUUAGUAACAGAGCUGCAAGAAGACCAAGACAUGGUUAUAAUCGCAGCAAGUUGUUAACUGUGCAUUUCUCCCUUCUUAGAAUGAACAUUUUUCCCCAAACUGGCUGCUGCCAGCCACAUCCGUGAUCCCUGUUGAGAAAUAUUCUCUGGUUUUCUUUUAUGCUAAGUAGAACACAAGUCACAAUGAUGUAGGCUGUAAAUAUCUGGCAUUCUUUUACUUUGUUGUGUUUUAUUUUCUGUUGUUAUUUUACCAUCUCAUUUGCUUUGGGGACUUUUUGUAAUGCCUUUGUACAGCUCAUACCUUCCUGCCAACAUAUCUGGUAAUCUAUUUCAUGCAGUUGCCAAUAUUCCAACUGAAAAUAAUGUGGCUUACCAUAGUAAAAUGGGAAACUUGGCUCUUUGUUUUCUUGCAGGAGGAAGGUAAAGAGUGUUUAUUUAAAAAUUAUCUAUCUUAAAUCUUUGAGUUGAAAGCAGUUUCAUGUUCAAGGAACAGGAAAAGCGGAAAAACACAAGUUAAAAUCAGUUCUUUUAAAAUAGAUAUUUUUAUUCUUUUGUAUAAAUAAAAUUUCACAGGCUUUGACUUCUCAUGCUUUACUUUUAAACCUGAGAUUGUUUUUUUACUUAUUUAUUCAUAUCAUGCCUUAUUGGAAAUUUCUUUUUUCCCAUCUUUUUGUUAGUAAUCACCUGAUUAAAUAUUGCUGUAAAAAUCACCAAGGGAAUGGAAAGUCUCAAAAUUCCACCAGAAGCUGAUAAUGUAAGGUUCUUGAGCGGAGUGAAAGGUAGCAUCAGCAGAGCCAGCACUGCCCCAGGGACAUUGUCCUUGCAGGGGUCAGUAGGCAGAGGAACUUGCUGAUGAUUGUGCUUGAUUCAGUGCAGUGGUCACCUACUUUGGCAGCAGAUUGUAAUCACCUAGGAACCCUAAAAAUGCUGAUGUCUGGGCCCCACUCCCAGAGACCCUAGGGUCCAUACAGCCUGCUUACUAGGAUUUCUUUCAAAGGGUCCUGGUGAUGCUGAUAAGAAGCCAUGUGGAGAGCCACUGCAUUAGGAAACUGAAUACUUUGAUUAAGUGUUAUGCUGUGAAUCAUUCUAAGAUUUGGGCCUUGCCUUUCCGUGACUCUAUUUAGUCAUAGUCCUUUAUGUAUGCCCAUCUCUUUGUAAGAAGAAAUAUGUUCAUUGUGAUCUCAGUGGAGCUGAAUAUGGAUGGCAUCUGUUAUCAGAACAAAGCUGCCUUUUCAGGUGUGCAAAAGCUUUCACUUUUGUUCUCAAAUAAACUUUUUUUUUUUUCCUCUGUGA